rnacentral:rRNA from 1 species
UACGUAGGGGGCAAGCGUUGUCCGGAUUUAUUGGGCGUAAAGCGCGUGUAGGCGGCCAGGUAGGUCCGCUGUGAAAACUCGAGGCUCAACCUCGAGAUGUCGGCGGAAACCAUCUGGCUAGAGUCCGGAAGAGGAGAGUGGAAUUCCCGGUGUAGCGGUGAAAUGCGCAGAUAUCGGGAAGAACACCCGUGGCGAAGGCGAGUCCCUGGACAACUCCUGACACUGAGGCACGAAAGCUAGGGGAGCAAACAGG